UACCAGCCUCCUCCAUCGCUGAGGUUGUCAGGGGGACAGAGGAGUUCUGCACCGCAACUUGAAGACGAGAUUGUUUGGAGGGCGAGAUGAUGGAUCUCCAUUUCUCAUGCUUCCACUGUGGUAAACCACGUCUAUACUGACCGUCUGUACCGGCUCCGUCUUGUCCGCGUAUUUGAAGGCAUUGAGCAGCAAGGACGCAGCCAAACUUUCUGUGCAGUGUGCCAUUUUCCCUUGACGUGUCGCCAGCUGUAAACAGAAGAAGAGGAGCGCUCGCUCUGUUGCUACUACUGUGUAGAAUCUGAAGAUGAAGAGCAAGAUGGUGGGUCCACCCUGUCAAUCACAGGAGGCGAACGCAUGUGAAUUUAUACCACCGGGUGUCAGAGCUACAACUGGACAAUGAGCGCCGCCAUCCCGGUACUUUGGUACAAGUGCCUGGCAAAUGGAUAAUUAUCGGCAGACAACUCCAAGGCUUACUGUUGCCGUCAGAUUUAUUGCUAAGGCGAGUCCUUUCUGAGUCUUGCUUUCAGCUAUUGACUUGGUGUUGAGACUGUAGCAGACUUGGUACAC